UCUUUGAUGGUCUAGUGGUCAUGAUUUCCGCUUGUCACUCCACAACGCGGGAGACCGGGGUUCGAUUCCCCGUCAGAGAG
rnacentral:tRNA from 2 species